rnacentral:rRNA from 1 species
UACGUAGGGUGCGAGCGUUAAUCGGAAUUACUGGGCGUAAAGCGUGCGCAGGCGGUUUUGUAAGCCAGAUGUGAAAUCCCCGGGCUUAACCUGGGAAUGGCAUUUGGGACUGCAAGGCUGGAGUGCGGCAGAGGGGGGUGGAAUUCCACGUGUAGCAGUGAAAUGCGUAGAUAUGUGGAGGAACACCGAUGGCGAAGGCAGCCCCCUGGGUUAACACUGGCGCUCAUGCACGAAAGCGUGGGGAGCAAACAGG